UGGGGAAUAUUGGACAAUGGGCGCAAGCCUGAUCCAGCCAUGCCGCGUGAGUGAUGAAGGCCUUAGGGUUGUAAAGCUCUUUUAGCAGGGAAGAUAAUGACGGUACCUGCAGAAAAAGCCCCGGCUAACUUCGUGCCAGCAGCCGCGGUAAUACGAAGGGGGCUAGCGUUGCUCGGAAUUACUGGGCGUAAAGCGCACGUAGGCGGACUCUUAAGUCGGUGGUGAAAUCCUGGAGCUCAACUCCAGAACUGCCUUCGGUACUGGGAGUCUUGAGUUCGGGAGAGGUGAGUGGAACUGCGAGUGUAGAGGUGAAAUUCGUAGAUAUUCGCAAGAACACCAGUGGCGAAGGCGGCUCACUGGCCCGAUACUGACGCUGAGGUGCGAAAGCGUGGGGAGCAAACA
rnacentral:rRNA from 1 species